rnacentral:rRNA from 1 species
UACGUAGGGUCCGAGCGUUGUCCGGAAUUAUUGGGCGUAAAGGGCUCGUAGGCGGUUUGUCACGUCGGGAGUGAAAACUCAGGGCUCAACCCUGAGCGUGCUUCCGAUACGGGCAGACUAGAGGUAUGCAGGGGGAGAACGGAAUUCCUGGUGUAGCGGUGGAAUGCGCAGAUAUCAGGAGGAACACCGGUGGCGAAGGCGGUUCUCUGGGCAUUACCUGACGCUGAGGAGCGAAAAGCAUGGGGGAGCGAACAGG